rnacentral:rRNA from 1 species
GACGUAGGUGGCGAGCGUUAUCCGGAUUUACUGGGCGUAAAGCGUGUGCAGGCGGCCUCACAAGUGGUGUAUGAAAUAUCCAGGCUCAACCUGGAGGGGUUAUGCCAGACUGUAAGGCUAGAGUGCGAGAGAGGGGCGUGGAAUUCCGGGUGUAGUGGUGAAAUGCGUAGAGAUCCGGAGGAACCCCAGAGGCGAAGGCGGCGCCCUGGCUCGCAACUGACGCUCAGACACGACAGCAUGGGGAGCGAACGGG